CAAUAGCGUAUAUUUAAGUUGUUGCAGUUACAAAGCUCGUAGUUGGAUUUCGGGUGGGACGCAGCGGUCUCGCAUUGCGUUUGUACUGCUGCAGCCCUCCUUCUUGCCGGGGGCGGCCUCUCGGACUUCACUGUCUGGGGGUCAGAAUCGGCGAUGUUACUUUGAGUAAAUUAGAGUGUUCAAAGCAAGCUUACGCUCUGAAUAUAAUAGCAUGGGAUAACACGACAGGACUCUGGCCUAUCGUGUUGGUCUAUAGGACCAGAGUAAUGAUUAAGAGGGACAGUCGGGGGCAUUCGUAUUCCGUUGUCAGAGGUGAAAUUCUUGGAUUUACGGAAGACGAACAUCUGCGAAAGCAUUUGCCAAGGAUGUUUUCAUUGA
rnacentral:rRNA from 1 species